UACGUAGGGUGCGAGCGUUGUCCGGAAUUAUUGGGCGUAAAGGGCUCGUAGGCGGUUUGUCGCGUCGGGAGUGAAAACUCAGGGCUUAACCCUGAGCCUGCUCCCGAUACGGGCAGACUAGAGGUAUGCAGGGGAGAACGGAAUUCCUGGUGUAGCGGUGAAAUGCGUAGAUAUCUGGAGGAACACCGGUGGCGAAGGCGCAUCCUGGACCGGCAUUGACGCGUGAGGCGCGAAAGCCAGGGGAGGCAAACGGG
rnacentral:rRNA from 1 species